GAUGAACGCUGGCGGCGUGCCUAAUACAUGCAAGUCGAGCGAACAGACGAGGAGCUUGCUCCUCUGACGUUAGCGGCGGACGGGUGAGUAACACGUGGAUAACCUACCUAUAAGACUGGGAUAACUUCGGGAAACCGGAGCUAAUACCGGAUAAUAUAUUGAACCGCAUGGUUCAAUAGUGAAAGACGGUUUUGCUGUCACUUAUCGGUGGAUCCGCGCCGCAUUAGCUAGUUGGUAAGGUAACGGCUUACCAAGGCAACGAUGCGUAGCCGACCUGAGAGGGUGAUCGGCCACACUGGAACUGAGACACGGUCCAGACUCCUACGGGAGGCAGCAGUAGGGAAUCUUCCGCAAUGGGCGAAAGCCUGACGGAGCAACGCCGCGUGAGUGAUGAAGGUCUUCGGAUCGUAAAACUCUGUUAUUAGGGAAGAACAAAUGUGUAAGUAACUAUGCACGUCUUGACGGUACCUAAUCAGAAAGCCACGGCUAACUACGUG
rnacentral:rRNA from 1 species